GGAUGUGAGGGCGAUCUGGCUGCGACAUCUGUCACCCCAUUGAUCGCCAGGGUUGAUUCGGCUGAUCUGGCUGGCUAGGCGGGUGUCCCCCUCCUCCCUCACCCAUCCAUGUGCGUCCCUCCCAAAGCUGCGAGCUCGGUCGAAGAGGACGACCUUCCCCCCCAGGAGAGGACCGGUCUUCGGUCAAGGGUAUACGAGUAGCUGCGCUCCCCUGCUAGAACCUCCAAACAAGCUCUCAAGGUCCAAAUAUGUAUCUGACGCAGCUCAACUAUACUGUGUGGGAAAGCACAAUAUGUCAUCACUUCCAGAGCAAUCAGGGAAGUAGGAGUUCU
ensembl:misc_RNA 7SK 7SK RNA